UAGGUUUAUUCAUGGUCAUUAAACCAUUUAUUUGAGCUAAUUUUGAUUAUAGAUUGCAUAAUACAUACUCGUACUUAAAUCUCGUAAUUCAUGACAUUUUGAAGUGAGUUCCUUAUUUUGCAAAAACAUGAUUUCCAAACAAAAAUCUUAAAUAAGCUAUAAACGUAACAAAUUAUGAUAAUAAACGAAUAAAUAACGAACUCAAAUAUAUUGACGAAACAAUGGACAAAUCAGAUCUUAUUUCAAAAAA
rnacentral:lncRNA from 1 species